rfam:Pteropus alecto contig33550, whole genome shotgun sequence.
GGCUCCACAGUAUAGUGGUUAGCAUGGCUGCUUUGCACGCAGAAGGUCCUGGGUUUGCGCCCCAGGUGGAGCCA